AAGAAACAGAUACUCCUCCUUGAACUUUCUAAAAGAAAAGCAGCCUUGCUGAUGUCCCAAUUUCACCCCAGGAGGCCCUACAUUGGAAUUCUGACCUCUAAUACUAUAAGGAGUCUGUUAGAGGUCAUUGGGGAAAUUACUGAUUGCGGAGCCGGAAAAAGCAAUGUACAAGUUAUGCCUGGAGCAUCUUGGAGAACCAACAGGAGCAUAAUAGCCCCAUUGUUCAACUAGUGAGUAUUGCAGGCGUGCAAUCAGAAAGGGAGAGAAGUCAGACCCAGAGCAUGAAAAGAAGGUAAGUGUGGCCUUUGAUGUGCUUCCAGGCCUGGGUUGGGGACCUGGGCUCUGAGAAACAGGCAUGUCAGCGAUCUUUGUCUUCUCACCUGUGAAGACACUUCUAACAUUGCAAAUCCUUGCCUUUGUCUGCACAGAGCCCAUUAAAUCAACUCGGCACAGCUGUCAGCUGGGGCUCAGAACCAAAGCACACACUUGGGUUGGCCUUUAUUGACACGCCUCACUGGCAAGAGUAAGAUCAGGUAACUUUGGGUUGCGAGAAUGCAGGGAGAUCCCACCAUGGUGUGAUAUUUCUUACCAUGGCUCAUUAGGUGUUUUCCAGACAAGUUCUUUUGGUGCAAGUAAAACAAUACUGAAGUUCAAGAACACUUUUGGAUGUGGAGGAAUGCCAAGGACCCUGUGCUCAAAGGCCUGAAUUCCAUCAGGCAGUGAUGUUCAUUCACUCAUUCACCACGCAGACAUUGCAAUGAGCCCCCCAACCCCAGCCCCAGAGACAGGACUUGAAUGCUUUAUUAACAAAUAUCAACUAUUAUCAGACGUAAACAGCUGUGGUCCCUGUGCCCAGGUGCCUAUAGUUUUAGGUCUCCGAUUCAUCGAUCCAUUGAUCCAAAUAUGUCAAUCAUUUCUAGAACAGGUCUACUUUAAGAUUGCUAACUGUGCAACUGAGUAUGAUUCUGUACUUGUUGGUUUAAGGUCACAAACCUUUCAUAAGAAACUUUCCAUUAAACACGGUAGGAACAUUUGAAUUAUGAGGAAUGAGCCAUUAACCUUUAGUCACUGGCCAUCUCCCUGAUAUCCUCUUCACCCACACUACUGCCCUAUGCCACCCAGAAAUUUAUUAAAUGGAAUCUUCCUCAAUCAGAAAGACCCAGCUGGUCCCUUGAGGCUUGUAAAAUCUGCUGCCCUCCAGUUUCUUUAAAGUCUGUAACCAUGGAGAUUGACUUGUGUCUUGCUGCUACUGGCCAACACUAGCUCUCCCAACACUCGGGAUGACAUAUUUAAUUGAUACAACACAGUAUGU